rnacentral:ncRNA from 1 species
GAAGUGCGAACCAAGCCGGCGCGAAAACGCCGUAAGACUUGGAGCGGAUAGUCGUAAGGCUAUCUUGCA